UAGCAAAUUUAUGAUAUGAAAUAUCUACUAUGUUUUUGUCAAGUUGAUUGAUUUGGCACAUCUAAGAUUGGUUGGGUGUCUUCUAACAUCAAUUUUAGACAUGCCAAAAUCAAUCAACUCGACAAUCAUAUUUAUAUCUUACUGUUA
rnacentral:pre_miRNA from 1 species